ACGUAGGUGGCGAGCGUUGUCCGGAAUCAUUGGGCGUAAAGCGCGCGCAGGCGGGUGAAUAAGUCAUCUUUAAAAGCGCUGGGCUCAACCCAGUGACGGGAGAGAAACUGUAUACCUUGAGUGUAGGAAAGGCAGGCGGAAUUCGCAGUGUAGCGGUGAAAUGCGUAGAUAUUGCGAGGAACACCAGUGGCGAAGGCGGCCUGCUGGACUGUAACUGACGCUGAGGCGCGAAAGCCUGGGGAGCAAACGG
rnacentral:rRNA from 1 species